GUAGUGGAUAACCAUGGCAGUAACGGGUAACGGAGAAUCAGGGUUCGAUUCCGGAGAAGGAGCUUGAGAAUCGCUACUACAUCUAAGGAAGGCAGCAGGCGCGCAACCUACCCAAUCCCGAUUCGGGGAGGUAGUGACAAAAAAUAACAAUACCGGCUCUUUUUGGGGUUGGUAAUUGGAAUGAGAGCGAUAUAAAUCCGCCAUCGAGGAUCCAUUGGAGGGCAAGUCUGGUGCCAGCAGCCGCGGUAAUACCAGCUCCAAUAGCGUAUAUUAAAGUUGUUGCAGUUAAAAAGCUCGUAGUUGGACUUGUGCGCGCCGCUCGGCGGCGGUCUGCGCUCAAAAGAGCGUUGCGACUCGCCCCGGCGGUGCCGUCGAAUUUGCAGCUGGAUCGCGGUCGGUCUUAAUUGGCCGGCCGCGUCUGUUCGGCUGCUCGUUUACUGUGAGAAAAUUAGAGUGUUCAAGGCAGGCAUUGGUGCAAUUGAAUAUGUUAGCAUGGAAUAAUAAGAUAAGGCUCCGGCCCUAUUUUGUUGGUUUCUAGUGGUGGGAGUAAUGAUUGAUAGGGACGGUUGGGGGUGCUAGUAUUGGGCGGCCAGAGGUGAAAUUCAUGGAUUCGCUCAAGACUAACUCAUGCGAAAGCAUUCACCAAGGACGUCCUCUUUAAUCAAGAACGAAAGUUGGGGGAUCGAAGACGAUCAGAUACCGUCGUAGUCUCAACCAUAAACGAUGUCGACUAGGGAUCGGCGGUCGUUUUUUUCUAAAGACUCCGUCGGGACCUCGGGAGAAAUCAAAGUGUCUGGACUCUGGGGGAAGUAUGGUCGCAAGGCUGAAACUUAAAGGAAUUGACGGAAGGGCACCACCAGGAGUGGAGCCUGCGGCUUAAUUUGACUCAACUCGGGGAAACUUACCAGGUCCAGAGAUGUAGAGGAUUGACAGAUUGAAGCUCUUUCUUGAUCACUUCGGUGGUGGUGCAUGGCCGUUCUUAGUUGGUGGAGUGAUUUGUCUGGUUAAUUCCGUUAACGAACGAGACCUCAGCCUGCUUGUGUAGUCGGCUCGAUUGCUCUAGUGGUGAUUGCUGGAUUCGACUUCUUAGAGGGACUAUCGAUGCGCAGUCGAUGGAAGUUUGAGGCAAUAACAGGUCUGUGAUGCCCUUCGAUGUUCUGGGCCGCACGCGCGCUACAAUGCUGGGUUCAGCGAGUUUUCUACUUGGCCGAGAGGUCUGGUUAAUCUUGUGAAAUCCCAGCGUGCUUGGGCUUGCCUCUUGCAACUAGAGGCACCAACGAGGAAUUCCUAGUAGGCGCAGGUCAUCAACCUGCAUCGAUUACGUCCCUGCCCUUUGUACACACCGCCCGUCGCUCCUACUGAUUGGAUGCUCCGGUGAAAUGUCGGGAGGGUGCGGCCGUGGCCAGCAAU
rnacentral:rRNA from 1 species